GUACUAAUCGAUGUUACUAUCUAGUAAUAGUUUUUGACAUCUGGAUAGGCCAAAUAUAUGCCUAGCAACACUCUAGAAUCUAUAUAGAUAUAGUUACCAUAUAAUUCAUCUUUUUGACUCUCGAUGCUCCAGGAUGACUAAGAGCUAAACUGUCAGCCCAGAAUGAGUAGUCCACAUUAUGUUUCAAUCUCAAAAUUUCUAUGACUCCUCACUAGGAUUGCUUUGGUCAAAAUUUUACUAAAUUGAAAUACAAUGAUAUAUUAUCUCUAAUUUUACUUAAAGCGGUCAAUCCCAUCUUAACUCGCACUCAGACUUCACAAAUACUUGACUGUACCUAAAAAUCUUUCAUCAUCGACUUAAAAAUUUGGAUAGUCUAGCACCAAAGCACAGUGAGUUGCUUGCAAGUCACCGAGACAGU
rnacentral:lncRNA from 1 species